AUUGAACGCUGGCGGCAGGCCUAACACAUGCAAGUCGAGCGAGCGGCGGACGGGUGAGUAAUGUCUGGGGAUCUGCCUGAUAGAGGGGGAUAACUCCUGGAAACGGUGGCUAAUACCGCAUACUAUCGGAUGACCCCAUAUGGGAUUAGCUAGUAGGUGGGGUAAAGGCUCACCUAGGCGACGAUCUCUAGCUGGUCUGAGAGGAUGACCAGCCAAACUGGGACUGAGACACGGCCCAGACUCCUACGGGAGGCAGCAGUGGGGAAUAUUGCACAAUGGGCGCAAGCCUGAUGCAGCCAUGCCGCGUGUAUGAAGAAGGCCUUAGGGUUGUAAAGUACUUUCAGCGGGGAGGCGUUACCCGAAGAAGAAGCACCGGCUAACUCCGUGCCAGCAGCCGCGGUAAUUC
rnacentral:rRNA from 1 species